UACGUAGGGAGCAAGCGUUGUCCGGAAUCAUUGGGCGUAAAGAGCGCGUAGGUGGCUGCAUAAGUCCGUUGUGAAAGUCAAAGGCUCAACCUUUGAAAGCCGAUGGAUACUGUGGAGCUAGAGUACGGAAGAGGCGAGUGGAAUUCCUGGUGUAGCGGUGGAAUGCGCAGAUAUCAGGAGGAACACCGAUGGCGAAGGCAGAUCUCUGGGCCGUAACUGACGCUGAGGAGCGAAAGCGUGGGGAGCGAACAGG
rnacentral:rRNA from 1 species